UGGGGAAUAUUGCACAAUGGGCGCAAGCCUGAUGCAGCCAUGCCGCGUGUAUAAAGAAGGCCUUCGGGUUGUAAAGUACUUUCAGUCGGGAGGAAGGUGGUAAGGUUAAUAACCUUAUCAAUUGACGUUACCGACAGAAGAAGCACCGGCUAACUCCGUGCCAGCAGCCGCGGUAAUACGGAGGGUGCAAGCGUUAAUCGGAAUUACUGGGCGUAAAGCGCACGCAGGCGGUUGAUUGAGUCAGAUGUGAAAUCCCCGGGCUUAACCCGGGAAUUGCAUCUGAUACUGGUCAGCUAGAGUCUUGUAGAGGGGGGUAGAAUUCCAUGUGUAGCGGUGAAAUGCGUAGAGAUGUGGAGGAAUACCGGUGGCGAAGGCGGCCCCCUGGACGAAGACUGACGCUCAGGUGCGAAAGCGUGGGGAGCAAACAGG
rnacentral:rRNA from 1 species